CUUCCAAUACAUCAUGCAUCAUUUAGUUUAAACCUUCACGAGGCUUUCCAAAGUGAAUUCCACAAGGAAUCACUAUUCUCCAGACGGUUGAAGCAAUUUGCAACAACUUGAAAGCGUUUAGAAUAUGGUAGACGUGAGGAGAAGAGAGAAGGAGAAAGACAGCCAUAAAUUGACGUUCGUCCUUGCGAUGCAUGCAAGGAUACUCGUAAAGGCUCGAUUCCUACGAUCUUCGAGAGAGUUUCAGGUUGGCAACAAUGCCUCAAGGAGAGGGAGUGAGAGGAGCUUUUGUGCCGAGGAACCACUCGCGCCAAACAAAUCAACGGAAAUUGGGAUUUCUUUGAUGGGAAUCGAGCUUGAGGAUCGAUGCCUACCGAUCAUCAUUACUGGGAAACGAUUAUCAACGAGGUGUCUGAUAGCUUGACGCUUGAUAAAAAACUUCUGUAAAAUGGUAUUCGAGUUGGUGAAAGAAAGCGAGAUAGCGAUUAAGCGAAAUCGUGGUAAAAGAAGAAAGAGAGAGAAAGAGAGAGAGAGACUUUCGUGUUGUCGAGCAACGAAGAAAGAACGUUAAGUGUUACGAAUGAAAUAUAAUUCCAUCGACUUGGCUGUAAAACGUUGUCACUUUAAACUCGGAAAAUUGUAACGCUCCGGGGAAAUUAGAUUACGAGCAUAAAGGAAGGCAAUUUCUUUCGAGGAACGUUUAAUGAAAGUUACGUUUGAAAUUUAAAGAACCUAAGAGGAAAGUGUAAAUAUAAUACUGUGAAAAGUGUACGCCUUGCAGCAUAUCGCACAUUUUUUUUUUUUUUUUAAUCUCUUUUCGACAAAGAAUGGUGUGAUGGAUAAUUUCAAAAGAUCAUCGAACAAGCUUGAAAAUCCAUGGAAAGGAGCUUAAAAGUAUCGAUUUCCAUGUAAGCGAUUAACAGUCGCGACAACAACCGAGCACACGCAGAAGAGCUAAACGAAUUCUGGCCGCGGGAUUAAACUGGGCACAAACGCGGACACAUUCAAUUAUCCGUUGUGCAUCCGGAUACAAGACUGUGCUGGAGAUACGAGAACCACCCCCUCGAAUCCAGUUCUCGCGGCAUGGCCGCUCGAAAAGCGUAAAGACUAAGCGGAAAAGCGAGUCGACGUUUCCCUGGAAAUGUGCCGGCGUUAUCGUUUCCGUCCUCAUAACGUGCCACGGCGCCGCUUAUCGCGCUUUAUCAGCAACGAUCCGUUGGAAAGCUACGCGAGCACUUUCCACCCUAUCAUCUCUCUCCUUCGUUCACUCACCCCCGUUUUCCCUUUCCUUUUAUUUUCCAUUUCCUCUCUCCUUUUUCCUUUUCCUCUUUUUCGAUUCGUAUUUCCGUUCCCUCCUUCCUUUAAAUAUCGUUUUUAGUAUUUGAAAUAUCAUACAACACUUUCCUAUAGGAAUUUUUCCUUUGAGAAUUUUGUUAUUUAAUCGACAGCGAUUAUUAUAAUUUAAGUAGAUGGAAUUAAAACUACAAUUGUGUAGUGAUUCGCUUUUAAACGAUCACCCAUUCAAAUAAUAACUGUGACAAUAUUUGUGAUCAAAUGAGAAUCAUGGUUCGUAUGUUGCAAAGAUUAUAUAAUAAGAUUAUAAUAGUUAAUGAUUUAUUUACUAUUACAAGUAAACAUAUCGUGUCAAAUAUUUGUCAUUGCAUUUGGUACCUCUUCUGGAACGUUUAUUGCUUUUAAAGUGUUUAUGCUUGAGUAGAUUACAUCUUUGAAACUUUUACAACGAAAUUUUGAGUUUGUAAACAUAAAUACAUUUUUGUUCUUCAUAGAAAAUGAUAGGAAUUUAUCGUGUAUAUUGUUUUUAGAUAUAAUAUGUUUAUAAAAAUCUUGAUAUUAUGACAUUUAAUCUUGAUUCUUGAUAUAAACAUUCUACCUUAUCGACAAUACUCUACGCCAAUCUUUACCAAUGCUAUUCGGCUCUUUUCGACAAUAUUCGUUGAAACUCGGUCGACGAUCAACUUUCAACUUAAAAUCAGUUUUGUAGUCGCUUCAAGCGAGUAAGUACAAUUUUUCUUUCUUCUUUUUUACGCGGAAAGAAAGAACUUUUUAAAACUCGAUGCAUACUAAGGUUAUAGCGUUCAAUAUGCAAAAAAUAUUCUGAACAGAACAACAAAUGUUUGUCUCAGUUUCUUCGGAAUAAAUUGCGAGUACGAUAUCAAAUUUGUCUCGCUUUAAAAUAAUUUAUGACCCGCGUUCUUUAAUCAGCAAACUCUGUCCAAGUAUUUUUUCUCUAAAUCGCGUGCAAACGGAGCUUGGGCAAUUUUCCUUGUCGUUUCGACCUCCUUUCUCGUUGUUUCACCCCUGUAAAGAAACAAUACAGGGAGGGAGAACGAGGUGGGUGUAUUUAAAGGCGAACAGCGAAGAAAUGGUUAGGACCACGCGAAAGAAAUAUGGCGAAAGGACAGAGAAGAAGAGAAAGAAAUUGUACUUUGGAAAUACUUGGUAAUCUCUGACAAUGUUAGAGAAUAAUUUGUCUUAUAUUUUAUUUUUUAUCGUUGAAUUGGAACUAUGGAUGUCGUGAAAUUGGAUUAACUUGGAUUUAAAACGAGCCAGAAUUAGAAUUUCUUGAAUGGAUGAAAAAAUAAUGAAAUUUGAACAAGAUCAUCUUUUAUCCUCGGUUAAGAUGGAAAAUUCCAUUGAGAAAAAAAAUAAAUUAUGCAAGAUUUGCGAACGAAUGGUUUCUCGUGGUAAGGUUUAUGCUCGAUAAUCGAGUCUAUUAAAUUGCAGAAACUACUCAGGAUCCGUCUAUACACUGACGACAGCAAGAAGUUGGCGAGGAUUCGAUUAAAAUUCAAACAAAGAGACGAGUUCAUCCUCGAUUCAAUUACAACUUUCUCCGAACGAAGAUGUUGAAGAACACGUAAGAAACUUAAGAAAAAAAAAUUUUAUUCGUAUCUUGAAGAUCUCCAUAGAGUUCGAUUAAUAUUCAGUUGACGGCGUAAAUAAGCUGAUGUGCAAGGAGAAAAGCCUCGAAAAUAUUCGUUCAAAAUUCGUAUUGGUUUCUCGACUUUUCAAACUCAGAGAUUUAAUUGAUUAUCAUUUAAAAAUUAGAAAUGCGUAAUGAUGUCUUGUCAACAUUUCAAAAAUAAAAUGGAGAAAAUUUUGAUAAACUCUAAAAAAAUUAAAAAAUACACUAAAUUUUUUAAUCGUUAAUCUUUUAAUCGAGAAUGACAAAUUAAUUUUUCAUGAUAUUUUAAAGGCGAAAUUAAUUUUUUAAGCAAAAUAUUUUUGCUUAAAAUACUUUUUUAUUUAUAGAAAAAUACUUUUUAAGAUUUGAUGUAUUUAAUAAUACAAAUUUAUGUAUUAUGUAUUCAUGAUAAUAUGAAUUUAUGUAUUUAUUGUGAAUAAAAUUAGAA